rnacentral:rRNA from 1 species
AGAGUUUGAUCCUGGCUCAGAGCGAACGCUGGCGGCAGGCCUAACACAUGCAAGUCGAACGGACCCUUCGGGGUUAGUGGCGGACGGGUGAGUAACACGUGGGAACGUGCCUUUAGGUUCGGAAUAGCUCCUGGAAACGGGUGGUAAUGCCGAAUGUGCCCUUCGGGGGAAAGAUUUAUCGCCUUUAGAAGCGGCCCGCGUCUGAUUAGCUAGUUGGUGAGGUAAUGGCUCACCAAGGCGACGAUCAGUAGCUGGUCUGAGAGGAUGAUCAGCCACAUUGGGACUGAGACACGGCCCAAACUCCUACGGGAGGCAGCAGUGGGGAAUCUUGCGCAAUGGGCGAAAGCCUGACGCAGCCAUGCCGCGUGAAUGAUGAAGGUCUUAGGAUUGUAAAAUUCUUUCACCGGGGACGAUAAUGACGGUACCCGGAGAAGAAGCCCCGGCUAACUUCGUGCAAGCAGCCGCGGUAAUACGAAGGGGGCUAGCGUUGCUCGGAAUUACUGGGCGUAAAGGGCGCGUAGCGGAUCGUUAAGUCAGAGGUGAAAUCCCAAGGCUCAACCUUGGAACUGGCUUUGAUACUUGGGCGAUCCUUGAC